rnacentral:rRNA from 1 species
CGGUUAAGUUAGAAAGGGCGCAUGGUGGAUGCCUUGGCACUAGGAGCCGAUGAAGGACGGGACGAACACCGAUAUGCUUCGGGGAGCUGUAAGCAAGCUUUGAUCCGGAGAUUUCCGAAUGGGGAAACCCACCACUCGUAAUGGAGUGGUAUCCAUAUCUGAAUACAUAGGAUAUGAGAAGGCAGACCCGGGGAACUGAAACAUCUAAGUACCCGGAGGAAGAGAAAGCAAAUGCGAUUCCCUGAGUAGCGGCGAGCGAAACGGGACCAGCCCAAACCAAGAGGCUUGCCUCUUGGGGUUGUAGGACACUCUGUACGGAGUUACAAAGGAACGAGGUAGAUGAAGAGGUCUGGAAAGGCCCGCCAUAGAAGGUAACAGCCCUGUAGUCAAAACUUCGUUCUCUCCUGAGUGGAUCCUGAGUACGGCGGAACACGUGAAAUUCCGUCGGAAUCCGGGAGGACCAUCUCCCAAGGCUAAAUACUCCCUAGUGACCGAUAGUGAACCAGUACCGUGAGGGAAAGGUGAAAAGCACCCCGGAAGGGGAGUGAAAGAGAUCCUGAAACCGUGUGCCUACAAGUAGUCAGAGCCCGUUAACGGGUGAUGGCGUGCCUUUUGUAGAAUGAACCGGCGAGUUACGAUCCCGUGCAAGGUUAAGCAGAAGAUGCGGAGCCGCAGCGAAAGCGAGUCUGAAUAGGGCGAAUUGAGUACGUGGUCGUAGACCCGAAACCAGGUGAUCUACCCAUGUCCAGGGUGAAGUUCAGGUAACACUGAAUGGAGGCCCGAACCCACGCACGUUGAAAAGUGCGGGGAUGAGGUGUGGGUAGGGGUGAAAUGCCAAUCGAACCUGGAGAUAGCUGGUUCUCUCCGAAAUAGCUUUAGGGCUAGCCUCAAGGUAAGAGUCUCGGAGGUAGAGCACUGAUUGGACUAGGGGCCCCUACCGGGUUACCGAAUUCAGUCAAACUCCGAAUGCCGAUGACUUAUCCUUGGGAGUCAGACUGCGAGUGAUAAGAUCCGUAGUCGAAAGGGAAACAGCCCAGACCGCCAGCUAAGGUCCCAAAGUAUACGUUAAGUGGAAAAGGAUGUGGAGUUGCUUAGACAACCAGGAUGUUGGCUUAGAAGCAGCCACCAUUUAAAGAGUGCGUAAUAGCUCACUGGUCGAGUGACUCUGCGCCGAAAAUGUACCGGGGCUAAACGUAUCACCGAAGCUGCGGACUGUUCUUCGAACAGUGGUAGGAGAGCGUUCUAAGGGCUGUGAAGCAAGACCGGAAGGACUUGUGGAGCGCUUAGAAGUGAGAAUGCCGGUAUGAGUAGCGAAAGAGGGGUGAGAAUCCCCUCCACCGAAUGCCUAAGGUUUCCUGAGGAAGGCUCGUCCGCUCAGGGUUAGUCGGGACCUAAGCCGAGGCCGAAAGGCGUAGGCGAUGGAUAACAGGUUGAUAUUCCUGUACCACCUCCUCACCAUUUGAGCAAUGGGGGGACGCAGGAGGAUAGGGUAAGCGCGGUAUUGGAUAUCCGCGUCCAAGCAGUUAGGCUGGGAAAUAGGCAAAUCCGUUUCCCGUGAAGGCUGAGCUGUGAUGGCGAGCGAAUUAUAGUAGCGAAGUUCCUGAUUCCACACUGCCAAGAAAAGCCUCUAGCGAGGUGAGAGGUGCCCGUACCGCAAACCGACACAGGUAGGCGAGGAGAGAAUCCUAAGGUGAUCGAGAGAACUCUCGUUAAGGAACUCGGCAAAAUGACCCCGUAACUUCGGGAGAAGGGGUGCUCUGUUAGGGUGCAAGCCCGAGAGAGCCGCAGUGAAUAGGCCCAGGCGACUGUUUAGCAAAAACACAGGUCUCUGCGAAGCCGUAAGGCGAAGUAUAGGGGCUGACGCCUGCCCGGUGCUGGAAGGUUAAGAGGAGCGCUUAGCGUAAGCGAAGGUGCGAAUUGAAGCCCCAGUAAACGGCGGCCGUAACUAUAACGGUCCUAAGGUAGCGAAAUUCCUUGUCGGGUAAGUUCCGACCCGCACGAAAGGCGCAACGAUCUGGGCACUGUCUCAACGAGAGACUCGGUGAAAUUAUAGUACCUGUGAAGAUGCAGGUUACCCGCGACAGGACGGAAAGACCCCGUGGAGCUUUACUGCAGCCUGAUAUUGAAUGUUGGUACAGCUUGUACAGGAUAGGUAGGAGCCUUGGAAACCGGAGCGCCAGCUUCGGUGGAGGCAUCGGUGGGAUACUACCCUGGCUGUAUUGACCUUCUAACCCGCCGCCCUUAUCGGGCGGGGAGACAGUGUCAGGUGGGCAGUUUGACUGGGGCGGUCGCCUCCUAAAAGGUAACGGAGGCGCCCAAAGGUUCCCUCAGAAUGGUUGGAAAUCAUUCGCAGAGUGUAAAGGCACAAGGGAGCUUGACUGCGAGACCUACAAGUCGAGCAGGGACGAAAGUCGGGCUUAGUGAUCCGGUGGUUCCGCAUGGAAGGGCCAUCGCUCAACGGAUAAAAGCUACCCCGGGGAUAACAGGCUUAUCUCCCCCAAGAGUCCACAUCGACGGGGAGGUUUGGCACCUCGAUGUCGGCUCAUCGCAUCCUGGGGCUGUAGUCGGUCCCAAGGGUUGGGCUGUUCGCCCAUUAAAGCGGUACGCGAGCUGGGUUCAGAACGUCGUGAGACAGUUCGGUCCCUAUCCGUCGCGGGCGCAGGAAAUUUGAGAGGAGCUGUCCUUAGUACGAGAGGACCGGGAUGGACGCACCGCUGGUGUACCAGUUGUUCUGCCAAGGGCAUCGCUGGGUAGCUAUGUGCGGACGGGAUAAGUGCUGAAAGCAUCUAAGCAUGAAGCCCCCCUCAAGAUGAGAUUUCCCAUUCCGCAAGGAAGUAAGAUCCCUGAAAGAUGAUCAGGUUGAUAGGUCUGAGGUGGAAGUGUGGCGACACAUGGAGCUGACAGAUACUAAUCGAUCGAGGACUUAACCAAUUU